rnacentral:rRNA from 1 species
GUACACGCUGUGACUAGCAUAUCAAUAAGCGGAGGAAAAGAAACUAACAAGGAUUCCCUUAGUAACGGCGAGUGAAGCGGGAAGAGCUCAAAUUUGAAAUCUUCAAGGUUUUACCUUGACGAAUUGUAGUUUAAAGAAGUGUUUUCUGCUGAAGUUUUGGUAAAAGUUCUUUGGAAUAGGACAUCAUAGAGGGUGAGAAUCCCGUAUUUGACCGUUAUUUCUAGCUUUGUGAUACACUUUCAAAGAGUCGGAUUGUUUGGGAAUGCAGUCCAAAAUGGGUGGUAAAUUUCAUCUAAAGCUAAAUAUUGGCGAGAGACCGAUAGCGAACAAGUACCGUGAGGGAAAGAUGAAAAGAACUUUGAAAAGAGAGUUAAACAGUACGUGAAAUUGUCAAAAGGGAAGCGUUUGACACCAGUGUUGUUUUCUCGAAAAUCAAUUAAAAAUGGCUCGAUUUUGUAUUGUUUGAGACCUUAAAAGCUCACUGUACAUUUUUCGUGUCUUUUUUAAUGCACUUUUCGUUUAACAAGUCAACAUCAGUUUCUUUUGUCGUAAAAGGGUCAUUGGAAGGUGGCUUUCUUUUCGGAGAAAGUGUUUAUAGCCUUUGGCCUCUGCAAUCGGAGAGACUGAGGUCUGCAGCGUAGACUCUUCGGGGUUAGAUACAUUUGUGCUAAGUUAUAGCUUUUUAUAGACAACUUGUUGACUAUAAUUAGUCUUGUAGCUUACUCGCUUAUGUUAUUUUACCUACGCUUAGGAUGUUGAGCGCAUGUCUCUCUCU